rnacentral:sRNA from 12 species
UGAUCUCCACGUAGAGCGCGUGGAGGGUAAACGAAAGAAUGCUCGCAGGGA